UACAGAGGUCCCGAGCGUUGUUCGGAUUCAUUGGGCGUAAAGGGUGCGUAGGCGGCGGGGCAAGUCUGAUGUGAAAUCCCGGGGCUCAACCCCGGAACUGCAUUGGAUACUGCCUUGCUUGAGUACUGGAGAGGAGACUGGAAUUUACGGUGUAGCAGUGAAAUGCGUAGAUAUCGUAAGGAAGGCCAGUGGCGAAGGCGAGUCUCUGGACAGUUACUGACGCUGAGGCACGAAGGCCAGGGAGCAAACGGG
rnacentral:rRNA from 1 species